AAUUUUUGAAACCCACCACUGAUCAAAACCAACAACGUUGUUCUUGCAGCGGAGUUAGCUCAUCUGAUCUUUUAAGGAAGGGAAAAUAACAAGAAGAUUAGCCCCUCGUAAUUCCUUAUUAAGCUGAAAGGAAAACAAUGGGGUUGGCUUCUUCUCCAGGAGGGAGCAGCUGAUUUUUGUAACGCCUCCCCCCCACCCUUGUGUAAGUCUGAUUCAGUACAUUAUCUAGGAAAUCACCGGAAACAAUGACUUCUGAGUGAUAAUCCGCCCUGAAAUCUCAGCAAUGUUUUGCACUUCAUUCUUUAGAAUGAGAUUCUGGAGCCGUUUCACCUUCCUGGAGCACAUCAAUGUGCUCUGCAAACAUGGCAGAGUCCGUGCCACAGAGAAGUCUAUGCAGGCUGCUUCCCAAGUCCCAAGGAAAUGAAAAGCAAGGGAAAAUGGAAACAAGACAGGAGGACCAUGGAUGGAAACCAGAAGGAUGUCUACAGAGAUUCUUAGUCAUCCAGGCCACGGUGGUCCCAAAGAGGCUUUUUCAAGAGGCAACUGGACUUCCUUGUUUUU